UGUGUGUGUGUGUGUGUGUGUGUGUGUGUGUGUGUGCCCAGUGCCCAGGAAGAGGUGGCCUCUGGGCGAGAGCGUGAGUGGGCGCUGGCUGGAGAUUGGUGUGGUGUUGUGUGCAAGCGUGCACGGGGGCGGCGCUAUUUGAAGCGCAUGAGGUGGAUGAGGAAUGGGGGCGAUACGACUUGAAGACCAAGCUGGCUGUUCCGCUACGGCAGGGCAGGGACAGAGUCCGGAAAGCAGUUGUAAACCCACUACAAACUGCUCAGUAAUGCUCACCAUUGGAGUUUUUUCUCUUCAGCUACUGACCCAUGGCAGUUGAAAAGAGGAUCAAAAUGACAUCACUACGUUGGGGUCAAGGUACAGUGCCUCUGAAUGCAAGUGACCAAUGAAAGCUCAGAAGAAUCUACCACAGGAGGGGUACAAAUAGUCCAUAUAAACAUUUCAAGUGGAAAUAUCUCUAAAUUUGCUCAUCUCAUGUUUCUUUUUAUUUACUGCAAUUCUGCUUUGCUCAUAGAGCAGAGCACCUUUUUUCAAUGUGGGUAUGUCAUGGUGGGCAGUCCUGUGUCUCCCAUGUUUCCCAAUCAAUUCCAGAAUUCUUUGGAGAGACCUUGAGAAUGUUCUUGUAUUCUUUCUUCUGACCUCUAUGUGAGCACUUGCCUUGUGUGAGUUCUCUGUAAAUCAGUUGUUGAGGAAAAGGUAGAUUUGGCAUUUGAACAAAGUUGCCAGCCCACUGGAGUUGUACUCUCUACAGUGGAGUCUGAAUGUUUGGCACUUCAGCUCCAGAAAGGACCUCAGUGUCUUUUACAUGCUGGCAUUACAUGCUGAUGUGUUGAUCAGUUAUAAUGAUUUUUUUCCUCUUUUUAUCUUUAAAAAUGCUCUUCAUUAUAUGCUGACUUUCUCAGAAGGGCUGGGGAAGAGAUGCCAGGGGAAAACGUGGUGAUGUAAAAAUACAAAAGACAUCAAUAAAAACUUAUUGGGAAAAAAUCCUGUCAAUAAUAAGUAUAGGGCCAACUACAGAUUCUUGAGGAACUCCAAUGGAGACCUUCCAAGUCAAAAUGGAACCAUUAGUGACUACUCUUUGGAAUCAGCUAUUCAACCAAUUUUGAAUCCCUCUAGUAGCAGUUCUUAACCUUUUUAAUUAUUAUUAUUAUGGACACCUUUGACAAUCUAGCAGUAUAUAGGUCUGUCUCAGAAUAAUGUUUUUAAAGAUGUAAAAUAAAAUACAUAGGAUUGCAAAGGAAACAAAUUAUAUGGAAAUGCAAUUACCAAAGGAUUCUUCCUAUCCAAGUUCACAGACUCCCUGAAAUCUACCUACAGAUGCAGGUUAAGAACCCCUAACUUA